GUCUACAGCCAUACCACACUGAACACACCUGAUCUCAUCUGAUCUUGGAAGCUGAGCAGAGUCCAGCCUGGUUAGUAAUUGGAUGGGAGAAAGGGCUAAAGAAU
rnacentral:rRNA from 1 species